AACGAACGCUGGCGGCGUGCUUAAUACAUGCAAGUCGAGCGAGAAAGUUCCCUUCGGGGGAUGAGUACAGCGGCGAACGGGUGCGUAACACGUGGGCAAUCUGCCCUCAAGUUCGGGACAAGCCACCGAAAGGGGGUCUAAUACCGGAUGUGACCGUCCUGAGGCAUCUUGGGACGAUCAAAGGUAGCCACUAAACUAUGCUAUCGCUUGAGGAUGAGCCCGCGGCCCAUUAGCUUGUUGGCGGGGUAACGGCCCACCAAGGCUGCGAU
rnacentral:rRNA from 1 species